UUUGGAGUGGCAGACCUAAUGCACAAGUUUUAAGCGCCUGAAAUGGCCUUUGGCCCUCCAUUCUCCUCGGUGUUUUGGCACAAAAAAAUUUGAGUUUUUAAGAGAUUUUAAGAUCAGGAGAAGCCUCUAACAAAAAUAAUUGAUUUGUUGCUUCACAGGCAAC
rnacentral:tRNA from 1 species